rnacentral:lncRNA from 1 species
UGGCAACAGCUCCUCUAAUCACUAAUAAAUUCAGGUUUAUAAGUCACAAUAGCAGUGUCAGGGUUAGGCUGUGAGUGUUACAGGCACUUAAAAGGUCCUUCAAGUUAAAACAAAAAAUACUCUCUUUGUUUGCCAUCUUUGUACUGUUUAACAUGAGUAUUUCAACAGUCUUUAUUUUCCAAACAUGCAAACAGGAGAGAGUGAUCUGACCCACAGCAUAUUGACAUACCAU